rnacentral:rRNA from 1 species
AGAGGGUGCGAGCGUUAAUCGGAAUUACUGGGCGUAAAGGGCACGUAGGUGGAUAGAUAAGUUGGGUGUGAAAUCCCCCGGGCUUAACCUGGGCAAGUCAUCCAAAACUGUUUAUCUAGAGUACGGUAGAGGGAAGUGGAAUUUCCGGUGUAGCGGUGAAAUGCGUAGAUAUCGGAAGGAACACCAGUGGCGAAGGCGACUUCCUGGACUGAUACUGACACUGAGGUGCGAAAGCGUGGGUAGCAAACAGGAUUAGAUACCCUGGUAGUCCACGCCGUAAACGAUGAGAACUAGCCGUUGGAAGAUACAAUCUUCAAGUGGCGCAGCUAACGCGAUAAGUUCUCCGCCUGGGGGAGUACGACCGCAAGGUUA